rnacentral:rRNA from 1 species
CAGUAGAACGCUGAGACUGGUGCUUGCACCGGUCCAAGGAGUUGCGAACGGGUGAGUAACGCGUAGGUAACCUACCUCAUAGCGGGGGAUAACUAUUGGAAACGAUAGCUAAUACCGCAUAAAAGUGUUUAACACAUGUUAACCAUUUAAAAGGUGCAAUUGCAUCACUAUGAGAUGGACCUGCGUUGUAUUAGCUAGUUGGUGAGGUAACGGCUCACCAAGGCGACGAUACAUAGCCGACCUGAGAGGGUGAUCGGCCACACUGGGACUGAGACACGGCCCGGACUCCUACGGGAGGCAGCAGUAGGGAAUCUUCGGCAAUGGACGGAAGUCUGACCGAGCAACGCCGCGUGAGUGAAGAAGGUUUUCGGAUCGUAAAGCUCUGUUGUUAGAGAAGAAUGAUGGUGGGAGUGGAAAAUCCACCAUGUGACGGUAACUAACCAGAAAGGGACGGCUAACUACGUGCCAGCAGCCGCGGUAAUACGUAGGUCCCGAGCGUUGUCCGGAUUUAUUGGGCGUAAAGCGAGCGCAAGCGGUUCUUUAAGUCUGAAGUUAAAGGCAGUGGCUCAACCAUUGUACGCUUUGGAAACUGGA